GUGGGGAAUAUUGGGCAAUGGGGGGAACCCUGACCCAGCGACGCCGCGUGGGUGAAGAAAUCCUUCGGGAUGUAAAGCCCUGUUGUAUGGGAAGAGCGGAAGACGGUACCAUACGAGGAAGCCCCGGCAAACUACGUGCCAGCAGCCGCGGUAAUACGUAGGGGGCAAGCGUUGUCCGGAAUUACUGGGCGUAAAGCGCACGCAGGCUGAAUUAUAAGUCGGUAGUAAAAGGCGGGGGCUCAACUUCCGUAUAUCUAUCGAUACUGUAAAUCUAGAGUAUGUGAGAGGGAAGCGGAAUUCCCGGUGUAGCGGUGAAAUGCGUAGAUAUCAGGAAGAACACCGGAGGCGAAGGCGGCUUACUGGACAAUAACUGACGUUGAGGCUCGAAAGCGUGGGAAGCAAACAGGAUUAGAAACCCUAGUAGUCC
rnacentral:rRNA from 1 species